rnacentral:rRNA from 1 species
AUGGGGCGGCACCGGAGGUACUGCGCCCACCCGCGGCGCGACCGCUGCUGCCGGAGGUACGCCUGCCACGCCGCCUCCGCCUCACGCGCGUGCUCCUCCUCCUUGCUCUCCCACUGCAUCGCCGAUGAUCCACCCGUCGCUGCCUCCAUGAGAAGAGAUAAAAUCAAAUCACAAGAUGGAUCUGAAGUUUACAACGAACUCGAUGGAUCGAUGGAUCAAUCUGCGAGUCCAGCCGUGGGUUUGCGCCCGAUUUUAUCGAUGCGUUUCGUGGGUGCUACGGUCCGAGUAGAACCGGGGGCCGACUACCAUACGGUGUAG